UUAUUUUGUGAAUCAUGUUUGCAUGCCUAACACUGUGGCACACUGCAUCACCCUUGAAAGGAUCUCAGUAUCCCAAGGGUGCAAUAGCAACCUGGUUGAGAAUCAUUGUUAAGUCAGGAAUUAGACAUUGCUGGUUGUGGAUAGGGAGCUGAGAUGUGAUUGUCAAGUUUUCUCCAUAUGCUCUUGCCCUCAACAGGCAAACACUUGUGUCCAUGAAAGUAUUCAUGUAAAUGGCCCUGGCCCACCAAAUCGGUGAGACUCUUAAAAUGCACUCUUUUUUUUUUUAAUGGAAUAAGUUGUCACCUGUGAAAGCUUGUGCCUCUUUGAACCAGAAAACUUGUGAGCAGAACUCAGCUUGGGUGACAUCCAGCUCAGUAAUGAAUGAAGAUAGUGAAGAGGAGAGUAGAGUGAAAUAUCUUCAGAUUUGCAGCACCUUUCAGAACUGGGUUUGCAGACCUGUGCCCCAGCUGCCUGCAACCCGCUCCCCCCCUGCAGAUUGCUCACCAGAAAGUUACAAGGGUGCAAUGGAGAGAUGUAAGGCAGAGGUGGGCAAGUGGGGCGAAGAGUCGCAGGCCUGGGCCUAUUACCCGGACCCGGGGAGGGAAUUUGCUAGAGGUCUUGAACAGCAACCAAGAAGAAAGUCUCUGCAUUUGAGGCCAGCAACACUCCUCUAAUUACAAGUCCAUAAUACGCUCAUUAGCAAAAAGGGCCAGCAACCAGGAGGAGGCUAGAAUAAUAUGAAAUGGAUUGGCAGAACUUGUGCAACUCUUACCAUACUCAAGCUGAUGGUUGGGCCAAAGCCUGCGAAGAAAGUCUCCACAAUUCAAGUAGUACACAGAAGAGAAGCCUCAGCAGUACUUGUGGCCAGCAGCCAAGAGGAGGAAGUAAUACAAGCUCAGUAAGGGUAGUAUGUAAAGUAGAAGGGUAUAUAUCUCUUCUCCACGGGAACAGAGGGACCUAGCUUGAACUAGGAGGUCAGCAUUUCUUCCCCGACAUGGGGAAAGCGGCAGGGAGGGCGCAUAAUGUCCUCCCUUAUGCUCACUAUCUGCUUUUUCAUCAUAAGGAGUCAAACUAUAAGUCUAUAUAACAAAAGUCUAUAUCAUAUACUGGCUAUAUAUAUAUGGUGGAGGCCCAGGAUGUGUGUGACGUGUGCAGGGUAGACAAGGCAGAUCUACCUGCUUUGAAAUGUGAUAAGGAAUUGAACCAUUACAAUUGUUAUUGACCAUUAAUAAAUUAUCAUUA